rnacentral:rRNA from 1 species
CAGCCGCCGCGGUAAUACGAAGGGGGCUAGCGUUGUUCGGAAUUACUGGGCGUAAAGCGCACGUAGGCGGACAUUUAAGUCAGGGGUGAAAUCCCGGGGCUCAACCCCGGAACUGCCUUUGAUACUGGGUGUCUAGAGUAUGGAAGAGGUGAGUGGAAUUCCGAGUGUAGAGGUGAAAUUCGUAGAUAUUCGGAGGAACACCAGUGGCGAAGGCGGCUCACUGGUCCAUUACUGACGCUGAGGUGCGAAAGCGUGGGGAGCAAACAGGAUUAGAUACCCCUGUAGUCCCUGUCUCUUAUAU